rnacentral:lncRNA from 1 species
ACUCCACGUACGGCGCCGGGGGGACCGGGUCCUUGCGCCGGUUUCCGCUUCUCGUGGGUCCUGCGGCGGCGGCGGCGGCCAAGCGGCGUUCACCAGGGAGUCGUUUCGGCCCAAUUGACCAGUAUUCCUUACUGAUAAGAGACACUGACCAUGGAGUGGUUCUGGUGAGAUGACAUGACCCUCGUGAAGGGGCCUGAAGCUUCAUUGUGUUUGUGUAUGUUUCUCUCUUCAAAAAUAUUCAUGACUUCUCCUGUAGCUUGAUAAAUAUGUAUAUUUACACACUGCACCUCAUAGAUUCCUGUUCCCUUUGCCCCUCCCUGGAAGUGUCUGUUUCUGGCUUCUGGCCAGAGGCAGUGCUUCCCUGUCUGUCAGAAUGGCCACCCUGCAGGCUGAAACCCUUUAUGAGAAGUAAAGCUCUCCUUUCCAGA